rnacentral:rRNA from 1 species
AUUGAACGCUGGCGGCAGGCUUAACACAUGCAAGUCGAGCGGUAACAUUUCUAGCUUGCUAGAAGAUGACGAGCGGCGGACGGGUGAGUAAUACUUAGGAAUCUACCUAGUGGUGGGGGAUAGCACGGGGAAACUCGUAUUAAUACCGCAUACGACCUACGGGAGAAAGGGGGCAACUUGUUGCUCUCGCUAUUAGAUGAGCCUAAGUCGGAUUAGCUAGAUGGUGGGGUAAAGGGCCUACCAUGGCGACGAUCUGUAGCUGGUCUGAGAGGAUGAUCAGCCACACCGGAACUGAGACACGGUCCGGACUCCUACGGGAGGCAGCAGUGGGGAAUAUUGGACAAUGGGGGAAACCCUGAUCCAGCCAUGCCGCGUGUGUGAAGAAGGCCUUUUGGUUGUAAAGCACUUUAAGCAGUGAAGAAGACUCCGUGGUUAAUACCCAUGGACGAUGACAUUAGCUGCAGAAUAAGCACCGGCUAACUCUGUG